rnacentral:pre_miRNA from 1 species
GAGCUACUCCCUCCGUCCGAAAAUACUUGUCAUCAAAAUGGAUAAAAAGAGAUGUAUCUAGAACUAAAAUACAUCUAGAUACAUCCCCUUUUAUCCAUUUUGAUGACAAGUAUUUUCGGACGGAGGGAGUAUUUG